rnacentral:rRNA from 1 species
CACGUAGGGGGCAAGCGUUGUCCGGAUUUAUUGGGCGUAAAGAGCUCGUAGGCGGCUCGGUAAGUCGGGGUGUGAAAACUCGGGGCUCAACCCCGAGACGCCACUCGAUACUGCCAUGGCUUGAGUCCGGUAGGGGAGCAGGGAAUUCCUGGUGUAGCGGUGAAAUGCGCAGAUAUCAGGAGGAACACCGGUGGCGAAGGCGCUGCUCUGGGCCGGUACUGACGUGAGGAGCGAAAAGCGUGGGUAGCAAAACAGG